UGCCAGCAGCCGCGGUAAUACGGAGGGUGCAAGCGCUAAUCGGAAUUACUGGGCGUAAAGCGCGCGUAGGCGGCUUGUUAAGUCGGAUGUGAAAGCCCCGGGCUCAACCUGGGAAUUGCAUUCGAUACUGGCAGGCUUGAGUACGAGAGAGGGAGGUAGAAUUCCACGUGUAGCGGUGAAAUGCGUAGAUAUGUGGAGGAAUACCGGUGGCGAAGGCGGCCUCCUGGCUCGAUACUGACGCUGAGGUGCGAAAGCGUGGGGAGCAAACAGGAUUAGAUA
rnacentral:rRNA from 1 species